rnacentral:rRNA from 1 species
GAUGAAUGCUGGCGGCGUGCCUAAUACAUGCAAGUCGAGCGGUAAGGCCCUUCGGGGUACACGAGCGGCGGACGGCUGAGUAACGCGUGGGAACAUGCCCCAAAGUGAGGGAUAACGCACCGAAAGGUGUGCUAAUACCGCAUAUGGUCUUCGGAUUAAAGGAUUAUCCGCUUUGGGAGUGGCCCGCGUACGAUUAGAUUGUUGGUGAGGUAACGGCUCACCAAAGUCGACGAUCGUUAACUGGUCUGAGAGGAUGAUCAGUCAGACUGGAACUGAGACACGGUCCAGACUCCUACGGGAGGCAGCAGUAAGGAAUCUUCCACAAUGGGCGAAAGCCUGAUGGAGUAAACGGCCGCGUGCAGGAUGAAGG